GCCCAGGUAGCUCAGUCGGUAGAGCAGUGGACUGAAAAUCCGCGUGUCGGCGGUUCGAUUCCGUCCCUGGGCACCA
rnacentral:tRNA from 1 species